GACGAACGCUGGCGGCGUGCUUAACACAUGCAAGUCGAACGGAAAGGCCCUGCUUUUGUGGGGUGCUCGAGUGGCGAACGGGUGAGUAACACGUGAGUAACCUGCCCUUGACUUUGGGAUAACUUCAGGAAACUGGGGCUAAUACCGGAUAGGAGCUCAUGCGGCAGGGGGGGGGUUGGAAAGUUUCGGCGGAUGGGGUUGGACGCGAGGCUUAUCAGCUUGUUGGUGGGGUAGUGGCUUACCAAGGCUUUGACGGGUAGCCGGCCUGAGAGGGUGACCGGCCACAUUGGGACUGCGAUACGGCCCAGACUCCUACGGGGGGCAGCAGUGGGGAAUAUUGCACAAUGGGCGGAGGCCUGAUGCAGCAACGCCGCGUGCGGGAUGACGGCCUUCGGGUUGUAAACCGCUUUCGCCUGUGACGAAGCGUGAGUGACGGUAAUGGGUAAAGAAGCACCGGCUAACUACGUG
rnacentral:rRNA from 1 species